rnacentral:rRNA from 1 species
CGGGGAAUUUUGGACAAUGGGCGAAAGCCUGAUCCAGCAAUGCCGCGUGUGUGAAGAAGGCCUUCGGGUUGUAAAGCACUUUUGUCCGGAAAGAAAUCCUUGGCUCUAAUACAGUCGGGGGAUGACGGUACCGGAAGAAUAAGCACCGGCUAACUACGUGCCAGCAGCCGCGGUAAUACGUAGGGUGCAAGCGUUAAUCGGAAUUACUGGGCGUAAAGCGUGCGCAGGCGGUUUGCUAAGACCGAUGUGAAAUCCCCGGGCUCAACCUGGGAACUGCAUUGGUGACUGGCAGGCUAGAGUAUGGCAGAGGGGGGUAGAAUUCCACGUGUAGCAGUGAAAUGCGUAGAGAUGUGGAGGAAUACCGAUGGCGAAGGCAGCCCCCUGGGCCAAUACUGACGCUCAUGCACGAAAGGCGUGGGGAGCAAACAGGAUUAGAUACCCUGGGUAGUCCACGCCCUAAACGAUGUCAACUAGUUGUUGGGGAUUCAUUUCCUUAGUAACGUAGCUAACGCGUGAAGUUGACCGCCUGGGGGAGUACGGUCGCAAGAUUAAAACUCAAAUGAAUUGACGGGGUCAUA